rnacentral:rRNA from 1 species
UACGUAGGAUGCAAGCGUUGUCCGGAAUUAUUGGGCGUAAAGGGCGCGCAGGCGGCCCAACAAGUUGGAAGUGAAAAACCUCGGCUUAACCGGGGGGGGUCUUCCAAAACUGUUGAGCUAGAGUGCAGCAGAGGAAAGCGGAAUUCCCGGUGUAGUGGUGAAAUGCGUAGAUAUCGGGAGGAACACCAGGGGCGAAGGCGGCUUUCUGGGCUGUAACUGACGCUGAGGCGCGAAGGCUAGGGGAGCAAACAG